AAAUAAUUCUGUUUUCCUUUUGUGUGAGGGGAUGUAUGUGCUCACGCUGUAAAAAUCAGGGAAACAUUCAGGUCUAGUCUCCAAAAAAUCAGAUUUCUGAUAAAAGUCCCGGUCCACGUCUGUACACUAGAGCCUUUAACAAAUGACAUUGGUCUGAAGGAGUCGGCCACCAGAGUUUGGCUUAGGUUCGCACAGGGGGGGAAACAAAAAGCUGUAUUUUAAUUUAAUUUGAUUCAUUGUAGGCUGCAAGAAAACAGUGGAACUGAAACCAAACCCGCGGCUCUUUCCUGCAGACAGCAGCCUCACGUUCUAGUCACAGGACAUGGUGAAGACAGCCCAAAUGUAGCAGAAGAAAGAAAA